ensembl:miRNA
GCCCUUUGGGGUGAGGUAGUAGGUUGUAUAGUUUGGGGCUCUGCCCUGCUAUGGGAUAACUAUACAAUCUACUGUCUUUCCUGAAGUGGCUGUAAUAUCU